rnacentral:rRNA from 1 species
CCUACGGGAGGCAGCAGUGGGGAAUAUUGGACAAUGGGCGAAAGCCUGAUCCAGCAAUGCCGCGUGAGUGAUGAAGGCCUUAGGGUUGUAAAGCUCUUUUACCAGGGAUGAUAAUGACAGUACCUGGAGAAUAAGCUCCGGCUAACUCCGUGCCAGCAGCCGCGGUAAUACGGAGGGAGCUAGCGUUAUUCGGAAUUACUGGGCGUAAAGCGUACGUAGGCGGUUAUUCAAGUCAGAGGUGAAAGCCCGGGGCUCAACCCCGGAACUGCCUUUGAAACUAGAUAACUAGAGUCUUGGAGAGGUUAGUGGAAUUCCGAGUGUAGAGGUGAAAUUCGUAGAUAUUCGGAAGAACACCAGUGGCGAAGGCGACUAACUGGACAAGUACUGACGCUGAGGUACGAAAGCGUGGGGAGCAAACAGGAUUAGAUACCCUGGUAGUCCACGCCGUAAACGAUGAUAACUAGCUGUCCGGGCACUUGGUGCCUGGGUGGCGCAGCUACGACAUUAAGUUAUCCGUCCGUCGGGUAGGUACGGUCGCGAAGAAUUAAAACGUUAAAAGGUAAAGUUAGUACGGACGUGAGACGUGCCGAACGGACGACGACGAGGGGAAGGUAGG